AUUGAACGCUGGCGGCAUGCUUUACACAUGCAAGUCGAACGGUAACAGGCCUUCUGGUGCUGACGAGUGGCUCACGGGUGAGUAAUGCAUCGGAACGUACCCAGAGGUGGGGGAUAACGCAGCGAAAGCUGUGCUAAUACCGCAUGUGAUCUGAGGAUGAAAGCGGGGGACCGAGCAGCAAUGUUUGGCCUCGCGCCUUUGGAGCGGCCGAUGUCGGAUUAGCUAGUUGGUGGGGUAAAGGCCUACCAAGGCGACGAUCCGUAGCUGGUCUGAGAGGACGACCAGGCACACUGGGACUGAGACAGGGACCAGACUACUACGGGAGGGAGCAGUGGGGAAUUUGGGACAAUGGGGGGAAGCCUGAUCCAGCAAUGCCGCGUGAGGGAAGAAGGCCUUCGGGUUGGAAACCGCGUUUGGCAGGAACGAAACGGUGUCCGCUAAUACCGGGCGCGAAUGACGGUAACUGGAGAAUAAGCACCGGCUAACUACGUG
rnacentral:rRNA from 1 species